GCAUUAAUGGGGUAGUGCUAACCUGGGUCGUUGUCAUGAGGUGAUACUUCUGGCUCUCUCGACCUGCCGGGGGGUUUGAUUCCCUCUUAAUGCA